rnacentral:rRNA from 1 species
GACGAACGCUGGCGGCGCGCCUAACACAUGCAAGUCGAACGAGCGAGAGAGAGCUUGCUUUCUCGAGCGAGUGGCGAACGGGUGAGUAACGCGUGAGGAACCUGCCUCAAAGAGGGGGACAACAGUUGGAAACGACUGCUAAUACCGCAUAAGCCCACGACCCGGCAUCGGGUAGAGGGAAAAGGAGCAAUCCGCUUUGAGAUGGCCUCGCGUCCGAUUAGCUAGUUGGUGAGGUAACGGCCCACCAAGGCGACGAUCGGUAGCCGGACUGAGAGGGUGAACGGCCACAUUGGGACUGAGACACGGCCCAGACUCCUACGGGAGGCAGCAGUGGGGAAUAUUGCACAAUGGGGGAAACGCUGAUGCAGCGACGCCGCGUGGAGGAAGAAGGUCUUGGGAUUGUAAACUCCUGUUGUUGAGGAAGAUAAUGACGGUACUCAACAAGGAAGUGCCGGCUAACUACGUG